rnacentral:rRNA from 1 species
AUGAACGCUAGCUACAGGCUUAACACAUGCAAGUCGAGGGGCAGCAUGAUUGAAGCUUGCUUCAAUCGAUGGCGACCGGCGCACGGGUGAGUAACACGUAUCCAACCUGCCGAUAACUCGGGGAUAGCCUUUCGAAAGAAAGAUUAAUACCCGAUAGUAUAGUAUUUCCGCAUGGUUUCACUAUUAAAGAAUUUCGGUUAUCGAUGGGGAUGCGUUCCAUUAGAUAGUUGGCGGGGUAACGGCCCACCAAGUCAACGAUGGAUAGGGGUUCUGAGAGGAAGGUCCCCCACAUUGGAACUGAGACACGGUCCAAACUCCUACGGGAGGCAGCAGUGAGGAAUAUUGGUCAAUGGACGAGAGUCUGAACCAGCCAAGUAGCGUGAAGGAUGACUGCCCUAUGGGUUGUAAACUUCUUUUAUACGGGAAUAAAGUGGAGUAUGCAUACUCCUUUGUAUGUACCGUAUGAAUAAGGAUCGGCUAACUCCGUGCCAGCAGCCGCGGUAAUACGGAGGAUCCGAGCGUUAUCCGGAUUUAUUGGGUUUAAAGGGAGCGUAGGCGGGUGCUUAAGUCAGUUGUGAAAGGGUUCGGCUCAACCGUAAAAUUGCAGUUGAUACUGGGUACCUUGAGUGCAGCAGAGGUAGGCGGAAUUCGUGGUGUAGCGGUGAAAUGCUUAGAUAUCACGAAGAACUCCGAUUGCGAAGGCAGCUUACUGGACUGUAACUGACGCUGAUGCUCGAAAGUGUGGGUAUCAAACAGGAUUAGAUACCCUGGUAGUCCACGCCGUAAACGAUGUCGACUUGGAGGUUGUGCCCUUGAGGCGUGGCUUCCGGAGCUAACGCGUUAAGUCGACCGCCUGGGGAGUACGGCCGCAAGGUUGAAACUCAAAGGAAUUGACGGGGGCCCGCACAAGCAGUGGAGUAUGUGGUUUAAUUCGACGCAACGCGAAGAACCUUACCAAGUCUUGACAUCCCUUGACGAACAUAGAAAUAUGUUUUCUCUUCGGAGCAAGGAGACAGGUGGUGCAUGGUUGUCGUCAGCUCGUGCCGUGAGGUGUCGGCUUAAGUGCCAUAACGAGCGCAACCCUUAUCUAUAGUUACUAUCAGGUCAUGCUGAGGACUCUAUGGAGACUGCCGUCGUAAGAUGUGAGGAAGGUGGGGAUGACGUCAAAUCAGCACGGCCCUUACGUCCGGGGCUACACACGUGUUACAAUGGGGGGUACAGAAGGCAGCUACCUGGCGACAGGAUGCUAAUCCCUAAAACCUCUCUCAGUUCGGAUUGGAGUCUGCAACCCGACUCCAUGAAGCUGGAUUCGCUAGUAAUCGCGCAUCAGCCACGGCGCGGUGAAUACGUUCCCGGGCCUUGUACACACCGCCCGUCAAGCCAUGAAAGCCGGGGGUACCUGAAGUACGUAACCGCAAGGAGCGUCCUAGGGUAAAACUGGUGAUUGGGGCU